UACAGAGGUGGCAAGCGUUGUUCGGAAUUACUGGGCGUAAAGGGCUCGUAGGCGGCCAACUAAGUCGGAUGUGAAAUCCCCAGGCUCAACCUGGGAACUGCAUCCGAUACUGGAUGGCUUGAAUUCGGGAGAGGGAUGCAGAAUUCCAGGUGUAGCGGUGAAAUGCGUAGAUAUCUGGAGGAAUACCGGUGGCGAAGGCGGCAUCCUGGACCGACAUUGACGCUGAUGAGCGAAAGCUAGGGGAGCGAACAGG
rnacentral:rRNA from 1 species